rnacentral:lncRNA from 1 species
CUGCUGUUGACUCACAUCCUUGUUUUUCUCACGUUUCAGUGUUUACUUUUAGACAAUUAGAACAGGGCGGAUGGGCGACUCUUCCCGAGGCACCCAGGAAGUCACAGCGUCUCCAGAGCCAGGGGUAAGAACCAGGAUUCUCUUAAGGAGUCUCUUGUUACCUAAUUGUGGGCUGGGGAGGUCAGCAAAGUUGGGAAUGAGGGGGCUCCAGCAGCCCUUCCAAUUCUGUCCUGCCCACGCCCCUCUCCACAGGACCAACGUUCCCCACGGGACACCAGAGCUGAAGCUCCAGGACCUCAGAGGCCUUGUUCAACAGAUUUGUGUUGAAGAAAAAAAACUCUCGGUACUGAAUGGCGCUACUUCAGAGCCGUCACUGGAAGUAAAGGUCAUUUCUAACUCCCUUCCCCACCUGUCACCCCUUUUGACCCAAGAAAAAGCUUCCAGGGUCUCUUGCUGAUUUGCUGCUCCUCCCCAAAAUGGGCAUUUGCUGCCAUGCCACAAUGUUGGUCUGCCCAAAAGACGUUUCCCUGGGAACUUUCAGACAUGACCUAUUAGUGGUGUGCACGUGUCUGUCACCUGAGCACUGUCUGCAACACGCUAGAGCGGAACGUAGGACACGCAGAGAGAGAUGACAUGCCCUGAGCUGAGGAUCCUAACUGUGUAAAUGGCACUGAGCAGUAGUUGAGACAUUGUUUCUGCCGGCUAGAGAAAGCCCCUUUUCCCAAUUCUGCCCACCUCGUCUCUAUGUAAGUCCCCAGAAUUCCUCUGCAGAGCCCUGGACACAUGGCGCCCUUCAGGUCUGUCUACUCUAUAAUUAUGCCCUCAACCAAACCAUUCUAGCUAAGCAAAGCUAGCUCCUUAAAAGCAGUCAUCCC